UGGGGAAUAUUGGACAAUGGGCCACGAGCCUGAUCCAGCAAUUCUGUGUGCACGAUGAAGGUCUUCGGAUUGUAAAGUGCUUUCAGUUGGGAAGAAGAAAGUGACGGUACCAACAGAAGAAGCGACGGCUAAAUAUGUGCCAGCAGCCGCGGUAAUACAUAUGUCGCAAGCGUUAUCCGGAUUUAUUGGGCGUAAAGCGCGUCUAGGCGGUUUACUAAGUCUGAUGUGAAAAUGCGGGGCUCAACUCCGUAUUGCGUUGGAAACUGGUAGACUAGAGUACUGGAGAGGUGGGCGGAACUACAAGUGUAGAGGUGGAAUUCGUAGAUAUUUGUAGGAAUGCCGAUGGAGAAGUCAGCUCACUGGACAGAUACUGACGCUAAAGCGCGAAAGCGUGGGGAGCAAACAGGAUUAGAUACCCU
rnacentral:rRNA from 1 species